GGGGAGGUGGCUCAGUGGUUAGAGCACUGGCUGCUGUUGCAGAAGACCUGGGUUCAGUUCCCAGCACCCACA
rnacentral:tRNA from 1 species